AGAGCGCAGGGUGGAUGCCUUGGCACUAAGAGCCGAUGAAAGACGUGAUAAGCUGCGAAAAGCUUCGGGGAGGAGCAAAUAUCCUUUGAUCCGGAGAUUUCUGAAUGGGGAAACCCACUUGAGCAAACCUCAAGUAUCCUUAAGCCAAUACAUAACUUAAGGAAGGGAACCCGGUGAACUGAAACAUCUAAGUAGCCGGAGGAAGAGAAAACAACAAGUGAUUCUGUGAGUAGCGGCGAGCGAAAACGGAAGAGCCCAAACCGGAAUGCGUGCAUUCCGGGGUUCGGACCGCGUAAUUGAUCUGACAAGUUUAGCAGAAUGGUUUUGGGAAAGCCAGCCAGAGAGGGUGAAAGCCCCGUAAGCGAAAGACGAGUCAGCAAGGCGGGAUCCAGAGUACCACGAGACACGAGAAACCUUGUGGGAAUGAGCGGGGACCACCCCGUAAGGCUAAAUACUCCUUAGUGACCGAUAGCGCAUAGUACUGUGAAGGAACGGUGAAAAGGACCCCGGGAGGGGAGUGAAACAGAACCUGAAACCGCAUACAUACAAACAGUAGGAGCUCCUUUUGUGGAGUGACUGCGUACCUUUUGCAUAAUGGGUCAGCGACUUACGUUUUGCGGCAAGCUUAACCGAGUAGGGGAGGCGCAGCGAAAGCGAGUUCGAACAGAGCGACAAGUCACAAGGCGUAGACCCGAAACCAGAUGAGCUAUCCAUGGCCAGGUUGAAGGUGUGGUAACACACACUGGAGGACCGAACCGACUAGUGUUGCAAAAUUAGCGGAUGAGCUGUGGAUAGGGGUGAAAGGCUUAACAAAUCUGGAGAUAGCUGGUUCUCCCCGAAAACUAUUGAGGUAGUGCCUCGUGUAUUGCUCCAGGGGGUAGAGCACUGUUAUGGCUAGGGGGACAUGGCGUCUUACCAAACCAUGGCAAACUCCGAAUACUUGGAAGUAUGAGCACGGGAGACAGAGCACCGGGUGCUAACGUCCGGACUCAAGAGGGAAACAACCCAGACCGCCGUUUAAGGUCCCUAAUAUUGACUAAGUGGAAAACGAAGUGUGAAGGCUAAGACAGUCAGGAAGUUGGCUUAGAAGCAGCCAUCCUUCAAAGAAAGCGUAAUAGCUCACUGAUCGAGUCCUCAUGCGCGGAAGAUGUAACGGGGCUAAGUCAAUAACCGAAAGCGCGGAUUUGCACGUAAGUGCAAGUGGUAGGGGAGCGUUCUGUAAGCCUGCGAAGGUGGUUCGAGAGGACUGCUGGAGGUAUCAGAAGUGCGAAUGCUGACAUGAGUAACGUUAAAGCGGGUGAAAAGCCCGCUCGCCGUAAGCCCAAGGUUUCCUGCUCUACGUUCAUCGGAGCAGGGUGAGUCGGCCCCUAAGGCCAGGCUGAGAAGCGUAGUCGAUGGGAAGCAGAUUAAUAUUUCUGCACCAUGUACAAGUGCGAUGAGGGGACGGAGCGUGAAUGAUCGGCCGGGUGUUGGAUGUCCCGGUUUGUGCGUGUAGAAGGCCGAUUGGCAAAUCCGUCGGCGGAUCUUCGAGACAAAGCAUCGAGGUUCUACGGAACCGAAGCGAUCGGAAGUGCUUCCAGGAAAAGCCUCUAAGCUUCAGCUUGUACGUGACCGUACCGUAAACCGACACUGGUGGGCGAGUUGAAUAUACUCAGGCGCUUGAGAGAACUCGGGAGAAGGAACUCGGCAAAUUGACACCGUAACUUCGGGAUAAGGUGUGCCUUUGUAGUGUGAAGAGAGAAACACUCCGAGCAUGAAGAGGCCUCAGAGAAUCGGUGGCUGCAACUGUUUAUUAAAAACACAGCACUCUGCAAAGACGAAAGUCGACGUAUAGGGUGUGAUGCCUGCCCGGUGCUGGAAGAUUAAGUGAUGGGGUGAGAGCUCCUGAUCGAAGUCCCAGUAAACGGCGGCCGUAACUAUAACGGUCCUAAGGUAGCGAAAUUCCUUGUCGGGUAAGUUCCGACCUGCACGAAUGGCAUAAUGAUGGCCACACUGUCUCCUCCCGAGACUCAGUGAAGUUGAAAUGUUUGUGAUGAUGCAAUCUCCCCGCGGCUAGACGGAAAGACCCCAUGAACCUUUACUGUAGCUUUGCAUUGGACUUUGAACCGAUUUGUGUAGGAUAGGCGGGAGGCAGAGAAAGCGCAACGCCAGUUGUGCCGGAGCCGACGUUGAAAUACCGCCCUGAUUUGUUUGAGGUUCUAACCGCGGCCCGUAAUCCGGGUCCGGGACCGUGCAUGGCAGGCAGUUUGACUGGGGCGGUCUCCUCCUAAAGGGUAACGGAGGAGUACAAAGGUACGCUAGGUACGGUCGGAAAUCGUGCUGAUAGUGCAAAGGCAUAAGCGUGCUUGACUGCGAGACCGACAAGUCGAGCAGAUGCGAAAGCAGGUCUUAGUGAUCCGGUGGCUCUGUAUGGAAGGGCCAUCGCUCAACGGAUAAAAGGUACUCUGGGGAUAACAGGCUGAUACCGCCCAAGAGUUCAUAUCGACGGCGGUGUUUGGCACCUCGAUGUCGGCUCGUCGCAUCCUGGGGCUGAAGUAGGUCCCAAGGGUUGGGCUGUUCG
rnacentral:rRNA from 1 species